rnacentral:rRNA from 2 species
AGAGUUUGAUCCUGGCUCAGAGCGAACGCUGGCGGCAGGNUUAACACAUGCAAGUCGAACGGGCACCUUCGGGUGUCAGUGGCAGACGGGUGAGUAACACGUGGGAACGUGCCCAUCGGUUCGGAACAACCCAGGGAAACUUGGGCUAAUACCGAAUACGACCUUACGGUGAAAGAUUUAUCGCCGAUGGAUCGGCCCGCGUCUGAUUAGCUAGUUGGUGAGGUAAUGGCUCACCAAGGCGACGAUCAGUAGCUGGUCUGAGAGGAUGAUCAGCCACACUGGGACUGAGACACGGCCCAGACUCCUACGGGAGGCAGCAGUGGGGAAUAUUGGACAAUGGGCGAAAGCCUGAUCCAGCCAUGCCGCGUGAGUGAUGAAGGCCUUAGGGUUGUAAAGCUCUUUCGACGGGGACGAUAAUGACGGUACCCGUAGAAGAAGCCCCGGCUAACUUCGUGCCAGCAGCCGCGGUAAUACGAAGGGGGCUAGCGUUGCUCGGAAUCACUGGGCGUAAAGGGCGCGUAGGCGGCCGAUCAAGUCAGAGGUGAAAGCCCAAGGCUCAACCUUGGAAUUGCCUUUGAUACUGUUCGGCUCGAGACCGGAAGAGGUAAGUGGAACUGCGAGUGUAGAGGUGAAAUUCGUAGAUAUUCGCAAGAACACCAGUGGCGAAGGCGGCUUACUGGUCCGGUUCUGACGCUGAGGCGCGAAAGCGUGGGGAGCAAACAGGAUUAGAUACCCCGGUAGUCC